rnacentral:rRNA from 1 species
GACGAACGCUGGCGGCGUGCUUAACACAUGCAAGUCGAACGGAAAGGCCCUGAUCUUGUGCGGUGCUCGAGUGGCGAACGGGUGAGUAACACGUGAGUAACCUGCCCUUGACUUUGGGAUAACACCAGGAAACAGGGGCUAAUAUCGGAUAUGAGCUCCUGCUGCAUGGGGGGGUUUGGAAAGUUUCGGCGGUUGGGGAUGGACUCGCGGCUUAUCAGCUUGUUGGUGGGGUUGUGGCUUACCAAGGCUUUGACGGGUAGCCAGACUGAGAGGGUGACCGGCCACAAUGGGCCUGGGAUAGGAGCCGGAGGGCUACGGGGGGAAGCGGUGGAGAUUAUUGCACAAUGGGCGGCGGGCGUAUGCAGCAACGCCGCGUGCGGGAUGACGGUCGUCGGGUAGGAAACCGUGUUCGCGUGUGACGAAGAGUGAGUGACGGUAAUGGGUCAAAAAGCGCCGGCUAACUACGUG